rnacentral:rRNA from 1 species
AUUGAACGCUGGCGGCAUGUCUUACACAUGCAAGUCGAACGGCAGCACGGGUGCUUGCACCUGGUGGCGAGUGGCGAACGGGUGAGUAAUACAUCGGAACGUACCUUAUCGUGGGGGAUAACGCAGCGAAAGCUGUGCUAAUACCGCAUACGCCCUGAGGGGGAAAGCGGGGGAUCGAAAGACCUCGCGCGAUUAGAGCGGCCGAUGCCUGAUUAGCCGGUUGGUGAGGUAAAAGCUCACCAAGGCGAUGAUUAGUGACUGGUCUGAGCGGACGAUAAGCCGCACUGGGACGGAGACACGGCACAGCAUCCUACGGGAGGCAGCAGUGGGGAAUUUUGGACAAGGGGGGCAACCCUGAUCCAGCAAUGCCGCGUGAGUGAAGAAGGCCUUCGGGUUGAAAAGCUCUUUUGUCAGGGAAGAAACAGCAGCUCUAACACAGUCUGCGAAUGACGGUACCUGAAGAAUAAGCACCGGCUAACUACGUGCCAGCAGCCGCCGUAA